GAGCCGCCGGGAGCAGCCCGGAGGAGGCGACGGCCGCUGCCCCGCCGCGGGUCCGAGCGGGUCCCGAGCCGCCGCCGCGGCGGGCUGUGUGUGUGCGAGUGUGCCGCGCUCUCGCCCCAUGCCUGGCACAUGCGUAAAAGCGAGUUGCGCCCAAAGUCCCAGCCAUACCCUCCUUAGCAAAUAAUAACAAACCCAAACCGUCAGAUCUUACCUGAAACAUUGAAGCACAAAGUCUCUCUCCAAGUCCCCUUUUCCUUUUCCUCUCCCCCCUUUUCCGAUUUCUCUCCCAGCGAUCUGCUCGGCUCGCCACACCAGAGAGAAAUGCAAUAGCUUGGCUAAGGUAGACAGAACAAAAUACAGAGAAGAGUUGCUCCGGGGCUUUGAAACCCCUCAAGGCAAGGAUCAGGAUACAAUUAGCUCAUGCCUCUACCUCCAGUCUAAAUCAAUCUCCAAAAUAAAACUUAAAUCAAAUUAACUGAUCACAGGGCACACAAUUGAUCUCCUUCAAAAAGAAAGCUCUACAUAUACGUAUAGAGAAAUAUACAUAUAGGAAAUUUUUUUCCAGAUUUUUUUUUUGGUGGAAAAACAGUCUCAUUCCAGCCUCCAACUUGCUUUUUACCCUCCUCGUGCACAGAAAAGCUGAUUUUAAUCGUUGUGAUUAGUUUUGAUGUAACGUUUCCGCGGGCGAUUUCUGCAAAUGGAUGGAGUGUUUCUUUGCCAAAAGAGGGAAAAGCAGCAGAUGAUGAUAAUUAUAAGGAUUGUUGGUUGUUUCUUUUUAUUUGUAUUUAGGGCUCUCUCUUCACUUUCUCAAGUUGACCUGACAUUGCUGUGUUAUUAAGGUCGCACAACUUGUUGAUGAGGAUCACCUCCAUGUCUGAUCAAAGGAUAGGUGAUAAUUUGGCAACAGAGCAGCACUUUUUGGUUCCUUUGGCGACAUAGCAGUUCCAAAUGACGUGGAUAAAAAUAAGCACAGGCAGUCCGCUUUGCCCCAAUCAGGUCUGAAUCAGUGCCUGGGGGUGAUACACAAACUCAUUUCAAAUGUUCAACCAUGCAGAAUUGUAAAAAGAUUGAAGGAGUUACACCACAGAUUUUUUUUUAAUGGCAAAAUUAAAAGUAAACAAAACCUGCAUUAGGUGUAGCCAAGGAUCUGCCAUUUAGGUUUAUCGGAGCACCCUCUGAGCACGCCUUGCCUCCUCCCUCUUUCAGCUUGCUUCCACCUGGUAUCUUUUCUAAGGGGCUUGUAUAAUUCUGUUAUUUGACAGAAGUGCAAGACAGAGCUAAAGAGACUGUAAUAUAAACACGUUUCCCCAGAUUGCCACUCGGAUUCUGAGCUCCCUUGCUUCUUCCCUCUCCAGAUCCCUGUUCAAGAUGAUCGGCCUGAGCCAGUCAUUACCUUAAUUCUUUUUAGGUAGGAUGGGAUAUUGGGUUGUAAACUCGGGGGUCACCUCCCAUUAGCGUUGUAUCUGUGCAGGAUACUUUUUGAAAGGGUGUGUUUUUGAGCACUUCACAGUUCAUUAAUUCAAAGACUUAGCUGACAUUUCUUAUGAGAAAAAAAAAAAAAACAAGGAUACUUAAAACACGCACACACACAUACACACACACACACACUCCAAAUAGAACCAGGCAGGCACAUCCUGCAAGUACCUGCCACUGGCAGCAUUUCACAGGAAGUAUUUUUUAACCAUCAUUUACCUUUAAGGUAAGCAACUGCAGUAAUAGGAGCAGAGAAGGAAAGGGCCAACCUUUUAAAAAAAUACAGCCAAUCAGAUAAAUGCCAUAAUGAUAUGAGAGAUUAAUGUCAUAAUGAGAAUCAGAAGCGUUGGAAGAUUGUUUUUGUUUUGUUUUGUUUUAAGGUUACAAGUUCAUGACAUAAGUAUCUGGUUUGAGAAUAACAGUUCCCAAAAGAAGAAAAAAUGGAUUAUUAAAAAAUUACAUUACUGUUUUUACUCCUCUCUCCUUUGUGUGUAAGGUAGACUCAUUCUCUGCUCUGCAAUGAAAAUUUUAAAGUUGAUGUCUCCACUGUGGUGUAGUAGGCUAAGCCUCUGCCUGAAGUGCCAGCAUCCCACAUGGGCGCCGGUUUGAUUCUCCACUGCUCCUCUUCUGAGCCAUCUCUCUACUUUGGCCUGGGAAAGCAUUGGAAAAUGGCCCAAGUCCUUGGUCCCCUGCACCCACAUGGGAGACCCAGAGGAAGCUCCUGACUCCUGGCUUUGGAUCAGCUCAGCUCUGGCUGUUGUGACCAUUUGGGGAGUGAACCUGGGGAUGGAAGACCUUUCUUUCUGUCUCUCCUUCUCUCUCUCUCUCUGUAACUGUACCUCUCAAAUAAAUUUAAAAAUAAAAUUAACCAAAAUUUUAAAGCCCACAAAAUCCUAAACUCAGUUGAAUAAAAAUGUCGCUAUCUGCAAAGAGCCCUAACUGUUCAUUGUAGAGGAGGAAGUGAGAAGAAAACGGACCAUGGAAGAAACUUGCAGAGUGGUUGGUGUGAUGACUGAAUAUGUGACAGGUGUGACACAAAGUGACGUUUAAUGAAAACACCCUGUGUUACCUGGAGAACUGCAUGGCAUCAUCCUACGAGAAUGCAGCUGGAAAAGUCUUUUGCAGGCAUCUGAUGCUUUCCUAUCACCUCGCAGGCUAUAGGUCAUCGGCAUUUUACAGUGAUCACAGUCUGCUGGGUUGGUCGCUGAAUGUGUGGUCAUCUCAGUAGCACACAGACUACAGGGUCUCACUCUCAAAUUAAGCUCCACCAGUUUGCAAGGCAUAAAGACGACAAGAGGAUCUGGUGAGUUGCAAUCAGGAGCUGUACUGGAGAAGUUCAGCCAUCUGACCGUUGUGGAAGAGCAAACAAGAUGUUCUCUCAGGGGACCAGCUUCUAAUGUGAACGUGGGACAGCUCAUUUGGUCGCAUCGCAGUCAUCGAACCCUCAAAUCACGAGCUCUCAUGGAGCAUCACGGCUUUGUCCACGGUAGCCCUGCGGUACAUUCUGGGUGGUGAUUUGACAAGAUAUGGACAUUAGUGGCUGAGAUGAAAUGUGAAAUUGAAGCGCCUUCCACUGAAGCAGCCAGACACCCAGAUCAAAUUUUACAGUUCCAUUGUGCUUUCCGUCAGGAAAAGGAGAGAGGCCUCAGUGCUGGGGUUCAACCUGGACGCGCGUGGGUAUCCCCAGCCAUGGCAAAGCUGCCACACUUUCCCCCUGCAUGGUCACUAAAGGACUAUAUUUCUGUCAUUGUUCCAGCAAGACCCACCCAUGACUACCACAAAUAAUGUUGUUUUAUUUAUUUUUGAGUCAGUUUUAUGGGAGGAAAAAUCACCUGUUUUUUAUCAGCCAUCCUGAAACUCCCUAUAAUGCUAUGGAAUGUGCACAUUUUCCUGGAGUUGAAUAGAGGCAUUAAUGAGCUCAAACAGAAUGGGUUUGUGACUCCUGGAGUUUGGCCCCAGCCAGCACCUGUUUAUAAUUAGCCUCUGGAAAGCUUGCUGGUUUUCUACAUUGAUGUCAAUAUGAAGAGUUUGUGGCAUCGCACUUUCUGAGAAGGUCAGUGGUUUAAUAGUUGCAGAUCUAUUGACAGAAAUCAUUUUCAGCUCACCCCUAUUUUUCAAAAAAAGCACAGAGCAAGGUCUUGUGUUAAGACUCUUAAACCAGUUUUGUCAUUUAUCAAACUUUCUUUGUCAUUCAUUGUCCAAAGUGAACACUAAUUAUAAUCUCACAUUAUAAAGUAACACAGAUCUAUGAAUAAAUAAAACAUGGCAAUAUUCAAUAGAAAAAAAUAUUCAUCCACAAGGAAGCAGAUCUAUGAAGAAAGUAGUGAAGCAUUGCUAUUCGUUAUUGGCAUUGAAAAGUCUUUGCUGGGGGUAGGCAUCUGGUACAGCAGUUAAGACCAGUGUGGGGCAUGUCCUGUAUCAGAAUGUCUGGGUUUUCGUUCUGACCUUGCUUCUGAUUUCAGCUUCCUGUUAAUAAACACCGUGCAGGGCAGGGGUAAUGGUUUAGGUGCUUGGUUCCCUGCCACCCACAUCAGAGACCUGGAUUGAGUUUCGGGCCCUGGGCUUUGGCCUGACCCAUCUCCAGCUGUUGCAGGCAUUUGGGGAGUGAACCAGCAGAUGAAAGUUUCUCUGUCUCUGUCUCUGUCUCUCUCUUUCCUUCUUCCUGCUGCCUUCCAAAAAAAUGAACUUGUCUGCUGGAUAGUCACUUUCCAUAUUUUCAAUAAAUAAUCACAAGUAGGGUUUAUCUCUCUGAGUCUGACAGGGGCUGAUGUGGCCAUCACUUGAGACAUCAGCAUUCCGUUUUGGAGUGCUGGUCUGAGUCCCAGCUGCUACACCUCUGAUCCAGCUUCCUGCUAAUGCACCUGGGAAGACAAUAGAUGAUGGCCCAAUUGCUUGGGCCCUUGACAUCCAUGUGGGAGACCCGGGUGGAGUUCCUGGCUCCUGGCUUCUGCCUGGCCUGUUCCUGUAUGUUGCAGCCCUUUGGGGAGUGAACCAGGAAAUAUGAGAUCUCUCCCUCCCUCCCUGCCCCCCUCCCU